GUGGACUACGUCCAUUGGGCCCAUGCACCGAUCAUGGCCCUGAAUUUGGGUCGUGACAUUUGUCUUGAAGAUUUUAAGGACCAACAAAUAUCCAAGAAACCCAAGGCAUGGAUGUGAAGGAUCUUGAAGCGCACGGUGAUUUUGAGCUAGAUUAAGAGAUGGGAAAUACAAAAAGUGAGAUAGAAUUAUGGUGGUGUCCCGGAGUAAAUAACGACCGAUCCGCCAGUGAAAAUAGUUAGAGACACUGCCAAACAAAUAGCGACUUAAUAUCUCGUUUUUGCUAGGUUUGGAGGUGUGCCUAUUGUACGUGCCAUGUCUAGGAGAAGCGGUAGUCUCGAUGCCCCUCAUAGUGCUAGC